UGGGGAAUAUUGGACAAUGGGCGCAAGCCUGCUCCAGCCAUGCCGCGUGAGUGAUGAAGGCCCUAGGGUUGUAAAGCUCUUUCACUGGUUAAGAUAAUGACGGUAACCGGAGAAGAAGCCCCGGCUAACUUCGUGCCAGCAGCCGCGGUAAUACGAAGGGGGCUAGCGUUGUUCGGAUUUACUGGGCGUAAAGCGCACGUAGGCGGACUUUUAAGUCAGGGGUGAAAUCCCGGGGCUCAACCCCGGAACUGCCUUUGAUACUGGAAGUCUUGAGUAUGGUAGAGGUGAGUGGAAUUCCGAGUGUAGAGGUGAAAUUCGUAGAUAUUCGGAGGAACAACAGUGGCGAAGGCGGCUCACUGGACCAUUACUGACGCUGAGGUGCGAAAGCGUGGGGAGCAAACAGG
rnacentral:rRNA from 1 species